rnacentral:rRNA from 2 species
AAAUUAACUCAUACCUACACUAAUGCACCGGAUCCCAUCAUAACUCCACAGUCAAGCGUGAUUGGGAGAGAGUAGUACUAGGAUGGGUGACCUCCUGGGAAGUCCUCGUGUUGCACCUC